AGCUUUGUAAAUGUUGAACAGUUCUUUCCUCCAUGAAUAAAAAAAAAAAUUAUAUAAUUGAAAAUAAAAAAUGCAAUGAAUAAACCCUUUUCCGCAAAAAUAUGGAGGACAUUGUUCAAAGCCUCCAUAGUUGUCUACACAUUAUGGUCAGUGGAAGAUAGUAACUUGGCUUCCUCAGUUGAGAUCUCAUUCAUUGAGAGCUGAAUAUUUGACUUGGAACUCAUUUUGUUCCACUCAUUUUCAACACGGAAGAAAACCCAUUGGAAACGGCGGACCAUCUCCAAGGCAGUGAUUGUAAACACAGUGAGGUAAUUAUGACGGAGAUGGGCAGACAGCUUGUACGUCCAAAUGCAACGCAGAACCAAAUUGCUUCCUAUGACCCAAAAAUAUACCCAUUUUCGUCCAUAGAGCAGGUAAGAGAAGAGACUUGGUUUGUUAAAUUUGAAAAUUCGAGUGAAGCAGCUCAAGUCCCAAUCCCGAGUCACAUCCCAAUAAAAUGAGUACAAUGAGUUCAAAACACUUGAUAGAAGCCAGAAAGGCCGAUAAAAAUUUGUCCAUCUAUCAGGGAAGACAUGAUAUUUAAGCGCUGAAAGAAAAAUCACUGGCACUGCAGUUGAAUAUUUUAAAGCAUUAAAGAGA
rnacentral:misc_RNA from 1 species